UGUCUGUGUCUGUCUGUGAGGGGAGGCCUCAAGGGCUCUCUUCAGGCACACUUGCUUAAGUUAAGAAAGUUGCUCUUUCAGCAAGUGCGCCUGGAGAGAGCCCUCCAGGCUUCCUGCAACACAUUUCUCUUCAACAGACAGGGCCAGACUUUCACCUGGAGUUCACCAGAGUGAGCGCAGGGUAACAGCUCUCUUUGUCUCAUAAACACACACAUCUGCACAUCUUCACUCAUUAUGAUAGAAAUAUCGCUGGACUCUUCAAGCUUAAUGGGAUAUUCUGGCCUAAAAUUAAGUUGGGGUUAAACACACCGUAACACCGAGUUAGACACCC